UGGGUAUAGCCCUCCUGAAACAGGAGC
rnacentral:piRNA from 1 species